rnacentral:rRNA from 1 species
UACGUAGGGUGCAAGCGUUGUCCGGAAUUAUUGGGCGUAAAGAGCUCGUAGGCGGUCUGUCGCGUCGAAUGUGAAAACCCGGGGCUCAACCCCGGGCCUGCAUUCGAUACGGGCAGACUAGAGUUCGGUAGGGGAGUCUGGAAUUCCAGGUGUAGCGGUGAAAUGCGUAGAUAUCUGGAGGAACACCGGUGGCGAAGGCGGCAUCCUGGACCGGUAUUGACGCUGAGGCGCGAAAGCCAGGGGAGCAAACGGG